UACGUAGGGACCGAGCGUUGUCCGGAAUCAUUGGGCGUAAAGCGCACGUAGGCGGUUCGUUAUGUCGGAUGUGAAAGCCCUUGGCUUAACCGAGGAAGUGCAUCCGAAACUGGCGAGCUAGAGUACGAAAGAGGAUCGCGGAAUUCCCGGUGUAGAGGUGAAAUUCGUAGAUAUCGGGAGGAACACCGGUGGCGAAGGCGGCGAUCUGGGUCGAUACUGACGCUGAGGUGCGAAAGCGUGGGGAGCAAACAGG
rnacentral:rRNA from 1 species